AUCCCAAAUCUGCAACAGAAUGGUCAUCACACCUUAUCUGGCAACAAGACAAACACAGAAACUGAAGAGAGGGAAAGAUAAAACUUACUGGAAGUCAUGAGACUCUGUUUGCUCACUGGCAGACCAGAAUCUUCUCAUGGUGCUGAUUUUAUUUGCAUUCAACAAGCAUGUAGCUGUAGAGCUUUGGAAGGAAUGAGGACCAUGAAGAAAUGUGAACAAGGGAUUCACUCUUCUUAAACUGUUUUCCAAAAUGCAAUAAAUGCACUAAAUAAAUAUCACAGACAGAAGAAUAUGAGAGCUACAGUAAAAGUAAAUCUACCUGUG
ensembl:lncRNA